AACCCAAAUGUGUCCACUGAAUUUCCCCUAUCAGAACUUGAUCAGGAACUUCAUAAGAACGAUGUUUAAAAGCUAGACAACAUGAAAGCAUUUUGGCAACUUUUUUGUUGGAUAGGAGAGUAAAAUCUUUAUCUUUAGAAGGAUGCUCACUACUAACAACAAAAGGUUUGGAAAUUCUGUGUAACCUUCGGCACCUACAUGUGAUUCUUCCUUGUAACAACUUUGAGUAAAAUUCUGUGUAACAAAUUCAAAAUUUGAGUAAAAUUUGCUUGUAACAACUUUUUAAUUUCGGUUAUAAAGAGAGAUUAUUAUAAUA